rnacentral:lncRNA from 1 species
AGCUAGAAGCGCAGAAGCAACAUGUGUGGGAGUGGCGAAUGGGACUUUGCACCGGAGGCUCGAGGAGCGGUGUGGGAGUGGCGAAUGGGACUUUGCACCGGAGGCUCGAGGAGCGCAAGAGGGAUGUUGGGACUGGUAGGAUGGCAAUAGCGUUGCAAGAGGGAUGUUAGGACUGGUAAGAUGGCGACAGCGUUAGCUGAACAAGCAUUUAAUGAGAACAUCGUAAUCAAGUGGGACAAGGCACGAGUAAUUAAGCCUGUUUUCAACUCAAGAACAGCGAUAACCCAAGAGACCAUCGAAAUUUUAACUAGAAAAAAGAAUCAAAACCUUAUUAACGAUAGGCCCACAGCCAAAUUACCUGAAGCAUGGAUGUAUUUAUUAAAAGAGCAUAGAAAGUUAUAAAUAACCCUGGUGCCGAGGACUUAGC